rnacentral:rRNA from 1 species
AUACGGAGGGUGCGAGCGUUGUUCGGAAUUACUGGGCGUAAAGGGCGCGCCGGCGGCUUGGUAAGUCAGAUGUGAAAGCCUACGGCUCAACCGUGGAAGUGCAUCUGAAACUGUCUGGCUUGAGUACUGGAGAGGAAAGUGGAAUUCCUGGUGUAGAGGUGAAAUUCGUAGAUAUCAGGAGGAACACCGGUGGCGAAGGCGACUUUCUGGACAGAUACUGACGCUGAGGCGCGAAAGCGUGGGGAGCAAACAGGAUUAGAAACCCCAGUAGUCC